rnacentral:rRNA from 1 species
CUGAAGGGGAGAUCCCCCACACUGGUACUGAGACACGGACCAGAAUGAUACGGGAGGCAGCAGUGAGGAAUAUUGGACAAUGGGCGAGAGCCUGAUCCAGCCAUGCCGCGUGCAGGAAGACUGCCCAGCAUUGUAAACUGCUUUUAUACAGGAACGGCUGCCUUACGUGUAAGGUGCGGUGGU